AGAGUUUGAUCAUGGCUCAGAGCGAACGCUGGCGGCAGGCUUAACACAUGCAAGUCGAGCGGGCGUAGCAAUACGUCAGCGGCAGACGGGUGAGUAACGCGUGGGAACAUACCUUUUGGUUCGGAACAACACAGGGAAACUUGUGCUAAUACCGGAUAAGCCCUUACGGGGAAAGAUUUAUCGCCGAAAGAUUGGCCCGCGUCUGAUUAGCUAGUUGGUGAGGUAACGGCUCACCAAGGCGACGAUCAGUAGCUGGUCUGAGAGGAUGAUCAGCCACAUUGGGACUGAGACACGGCCCAAACUCCUACGGGAGGCAGCAGUGGGGAAUAUUGGACAAUGGGCGCAAGCCUGAUCCAGCCAUGCCGCGUGAGUGAUGAAGGCCCUAGGGUUGUAAAGCUCUUUUGUGCGGGAAGAUAAUGACGGUACCGCAAGAAUAAGCCCCGGCUAACUUCGUGCCAGCAGCCGCGGUAAUACGAAGGGGGCUAGCGUUGCUCGGAAUCACUGGGCGUAAAGGGUGCGUAGGCGGGUCUUUAAGUCAGGGGUGAAAUCCUGGAGCUCAACUCCAGAACUGCCUUUGAUACUGGCGAUCUUGAGUCCGGGAGAGGUGAGUGGAACUGCGAGUGUAGAGGUGAAAUUCGUAGAUAUUCGCAAGAACACCAGUGGCGAAGGCGGCUCACUGGCCCGGUACUGACGCUGAGGUGCGAAAGCGUGGGGAGCAAACAGGAUUAGAUACCCUAGUAGUCC
rnacentral:rRNA from 1 species